AUUGAACGCUGGCGGCAGGCCUAACACAUGCAAGUCGAACGAGUGGCGGACGGGUGAGUAAUGUCUGGGAAACUGCCUGAUGGAGGGGGAUAACUACUGGAAACGGUAGCUAAUACCGCAUACCAUCGGAUGUGCCCAGAUGGGAUUAGCUAGUAGGUGGGGGAAAGGCUCACCUAGGCGACGAUCCCUAGCUGGUCUGAGAGGAUGACCAGCCACACUGGAAAGUAGACACGGUCCCGACCCCUACGGGAGGCAGCCGGGGGGAAUAUUGCACAAAUGGCGGAAGCCUGAUGCAGCCAUUGCGCUUGUAUUAAGAAGGCCUUCCGGUUGGAAAGUACUUUCAGCGGUGAGGCGUUACCCGCAGAAGAAGCACCGGCUAACUCCGUGCCAGCCGCCGCGGUAAUUC
rnacentral:rRNA from 1 species